rnacentral:rRNA from 1 species
UUAUGGCUCAGGAUGAACGCUGGCGGCAUGCCUAAUACAUGCAAGUCGUACGAGGGAAGUCCAGCUUGCUGGACGGAACGAGUGGCGAACGGGUGAGUAAUACGUAAGCAAACCUGCCUGCAAGGACUGGGAUAACACCUGGAAACGGGCGCUAAUACCGGAUAGGUAACAAAGGGGCAUCCCUAUGUUAUUAAAGGUUAGAAACACAAGCAGAUGGGCUUACGGUGCAUUAGCUAGUUGGUGAGGUAACGGCCCACCAAGGCGAUGAUGCAUAGCCGGCCUGAGAGGGUGAACGGCCACAUUGGGACUGAGACACGGCCCAGACUCCUACGGGAGGCAGCAGUAGGGAAUUUUCGGCAAUGGACGAAAGUCUGACCGAGCAACGCCGCGUGAGUGAAGAAGGUUUUCGGAUUGUAAAGCUCUGUUGUAAGGGAAGAACAGCACGGAAAGAAUCCGUGAAUGACGGUACCUUACCAGAAAGCCACGGCUAACUACGUGCCAGCAGCGGC